UGGUGGCGACCGGCGCACGGGUGAGUAACGCGUAUGCAACCCAUCUAUCAGAGGGGAAUAACCCGGCGAAAGUCGGACUAAUACCGCAUAAAACAGGGACACCGCAUGGUGAUAUUUGUUAAAGAAAUUCGCUGAUAGAUGGGCAUGCGUUCCAUUAGGUAGUUGGUGAGGUAGCGGCUCACCAAGCCGACGAUGGAUAGGGGAACUGAGAGGUUGGUCCCCCACACUGGUACUGAGACACGGACCAGACUCCUACGGGAGGCAGCAGUGAGGAAUAUUGGUCAAUGGGCGAGAGCCUGAACCAGCCAAGUCGCGUGAAGGAAGAAGGAUCUAUGGUUCGUAAACUUCUUUUGCAGGGGAAUAAAGUGCAGGACGUGUCCUGUUUUGUAUGUACCCUGAGAAUAAGGAUCGGCUAACUCCGUGCCAGCAGCCGCGGUAAUACGGAGGAUCCGAGCGUUAUCCGGAUUUAUUGGGUUUAAAGGGUGCGUAGGUGGUUUGAUAAGUUAGCGGUGAAAGUUUGCAGCUUAACUGUAAAAAUGCCGUUGAAACUGUCGGACUUAAGUGUAAAUGAGGUAGGCGGAAUGCGUGGUGUAGCGGUGAAAUGCUUAGAUAUCACGAAGAACUCCGAUUG
rnacentral:rRNA from 1 species